GGGGCAGAACAGAGAGGUGAUGAGAAGGGAUGGAGGGAGGGAAGGAGACAGAAGAGGAGUAGGAGAGUAAGGGGUGGUUGGGGGAGUUUGUGGUCGGACAAUGGGUGAUCAGUAGAUGGAAUGAUUGGGGGAGGACAAAAAGUGGGGAUUUCGGGAGACAGGGAGUUGAGGAUGAUGGUUAUAUACAUGAGGAAGGGAAGAGAGAGAAAAUGGAGGGAUUACUUGUCAUGUGAAUGAGAGAGAGUGACUGAUAAGAGCAUGAGAAAAUAAUCAACAGUUAACAAUGGCAUCAUCAGGUCACAUAAACAUAAGAUUACAGCAGCUGAAAGCAUGUCCACAUGAUCAGGGUAGGAGGCGAAAUCACAGAGAUGGAGUGAAUUAACAGAGAAACAGAGAAAAGAUGCAGUCAAACAACUAAGUAAGUAAACCAAGCAAUCCCAUUUAAAGGCUUCUAAAAUAACUGUGUUCGCAUUGACAGGAAAAUAAAAAUAAAACAAACAGAGUGAGUCAAUAUGAACAACAGUUGUGAAACAACCAUAUAAGGGCAUAUAAUGUUUGCUACUUACAAACUGAACCUGGAACAAAUUAGUGUGAGCAGAGAGAGGGGUGGGAAGGGGGAUGUCGUGAGAGCUUUACAACGAGUACACUUUUAAACAAUCUUCCGCUCUAACUGUGGCUGAACAGUAUGUAUGUGACAAAUGUGUCAGGUGGCUUGGUUAUUUGUAAAUAUUCCAUCGACUUCAUGAUUUACACACUACAGAUAUCACACCACUGUACUGCUAUGGCCAUUUCAUCUAGGUCUAAUUCAUUGCAGUUUUUAGUUUCAUGUGAACUAGAUUUCAUGGUUUCUUGGCAGAAAACAGAAAUGGUUUAUUCCUCUCCCAACUAGCCAGAGGUGCCCAUUAAGCCAAUGAGUAGUCACGUGUCUCUGGGCAAGAAGGGGUUUGGAUAGAGCCUAUCGGGGAGGGGGGGGGGGGGGGCACAACAGGAAAAUCUCAGGGGAUAACCAUAGCUAAAUACAGUGUCAGAGAAAACUAUGUGUCCAGAGAUUUGCCUGGCAAAUAAAGGAAACACAAGGCUUGGAGAUAGGAAUGACAUUUCCAUAGGCAGACAAGGACCAUUAAGGUAUAGUGCUCCAUUUCUAUUUGAGGCUGCCACAGAAUUUAACAUUUACUUUUUUAAAUGUAUAGCACAAGCUAUUUAGUUAAUGUGUUUUUGAAAUAAGGGUGAGUCAAAGUUCUGGAGAAUCUUUCACAAAACAUAAGGCAUGGUAAAACUAAAUUGCAGAACGAGCAGAGAGGGGGAGUAAUAGAAGAAAGUUGUGACAAAAAAACAGACUUUGUUUUCUCUUUAGACUCACUGAUUUGGUGUGGUUCAUCUGCCUACAGCACUGAGAUGAGGUACAAACUUACUCAUCGUCAUCAUAUGGGCAAUGGACUUUGUAAUUACCGUAGUUUAGAGUCUACAAUCAUGACAGCUAUGACCAUUCACAAUAAAUGAGUAUGGAUGGUUGGCUAGUGGGUGUGAGAGAUACUCCCUGAGAUCAGAGAGAGGGUAGUAAUGGUCACAAAUCAAUAUCAAGGAAAACGGACAUGAAAAUAACGAUGUUGUAGAUUUAUAUUGAUGGUUUCUAUUUUCCUGACUGUGACAGAGAAAUGUUAGCACAGAGGCUAGCUCUUUUUAAAGUCAAACUGUAGCCAACGAGGGGAGGGGGGAGGUGGAGAGCACCCUGUCCAAGGUUCACUUGCUGUUCUCUUUAAAUAGUCACUACAGGUCACAUUAUGCACUGGGCAGGCCCACUUUGUGCCUCGUAAUGAUUUAAUAUGGAGUUGUUCUGUUAAAGAUCCAGGCUUUUCUGAACUAGGUUUAACUAACUGGAUGCUUUGAGAAUUAAGUAAUUGACGGUUGAGAAGCCGACAGCAAAGCAGAAGACAUCAGCAAAAAUAAAAAAACAUCUCAGAGAGUGUAUGGCUUUGACUGUUGUAUGUAAUAUAUCAUUAAUAAAAAAUUUUGUAUCAAAUUUGUACCUGCAAUGGAAGCAACUCAGUGUGACAUUGCACAUUUUGCAUCAGAAAAAGUUAAAAUACACCAA